rnacentral:rRNA from 1 species
GACGAACCGUGCGAACGUUGUUCGGAUUCACUGGGCUUAAAGGGCGCGUAGGCGGGUGCUCAAGUCGGGGGUGAAAUCCCUCGGCUCAACUGAGGAACUGCACGGGAUACUGCGAGACUUGAGUUCGGGAGAGGGAAGCGGAAUUCCGGGUGUAGCGGUGAAAUGCGUAGAUAUCCGGAGGAACACCGGUGGCGAAGGCGGCUUCCUGGACCGAUCACUGACGCUGAGGCGCGAAAGCUAGGGGAGCAAACGGG